rnacentral:rRNA from 1 species
GAUGAACGCUGGCGGCGUGCCUAAUACAUGCAAGUCGAGCGAGCAUACGAUGAGUUUGCUCCUCUGACGUUAGGGGCGGCCGGGUGGUUAACCCGUGGAUACCCGCCCUAUAAUACUGGAAUAACUUCGGGAAAGCGGACCUAAUACCGGAUUAUCUGUUGUACCGCAUGGUUCAAUAGGGAAAGACGGUUUUUCGGGCUCUUUUGGAGGGAGCCGGGCCGCAGUAGCUAGUUGGUGAGGUAGGGGCUUUGCAAGGCCACGAUGCGUAGCCGCCACGGGGGGGUGGUCGGCCAUAAUAGAACGGAGAAACGGUCCAGACUCCUACGGGGGGCGGCAGUAGGGAAUGUUACGGAACGGGCGAAAGACGGACGGAGCAGCGCCGCGUGAGUGAUGAAGGUCUUCGGAUCGUAAAACUCUGUUAUUAGGGAAGAACAAAUGUGUAAGUUAUGAUGCGCGGCUUGACGGUACCUAAUCAGAAAGCCACGGCUAACUACGUG